CGUAAUGCAGUGAGUCAGGAGUAUGAUGAUUGCGAAAGUCUGCUCCAUGUUCGCCGCGUUUUUCGUGUGUGUUAAUUUGGUAUCCCCGAAUUCAGCACUUGCGAUCAGCGGUCCCGCGAGAAACGCAAAUAUCAACGAAAUAGCCCUCAUUAAAACUGAUCUCUCCAAGGAACCCGCAGAUCAGGAUGACGAAAAUAUCGUCGCGACCCUCCAGAAAAGAUUCUUGGGCGAUCUCUUCGGCAGCAUAGGCGACCUGGCCGACGGUAACGUCUCGAUCAACAACUCCGGUAUCAUGGAGGGCAACGGAAACGGCUCGAUCUACUUCAGCGAUAACAACUUCGGUCCCUCCGCGUCGAAGCGCCGAACUUCGCCGCAGAGGAAUGUCGAAGUCAACAACACCGGUCACUUUAAGGGAGACUUCAACGGCUCCGUCUUCGAAGGCGGGUGGGAUGCGUCGUCCCCGAAAAGGACCCCCUCGGGAAGCGGCCGGGAGUCCCCGAGGCUUCAGAGGAGCCCUUCCAAGGGCUCCAGGUCGCCCAAUGGAUUGACCAGGUCUAACUCGAAUGUGGGACGAAACGCUAGGAUCAAUAACAACUGGAAGUCAGCCAAGGGCAAAGGCAACGGUCAAGUGUACUCCCUCCCGCCAAACGUCCCGUUGAGCUCGGUGUUUAGCAAUUCAACCGACUUGAACGGGCGGUAUGUGAGCCACGACGAUGACGGCCUCUACUUCACGGUAUUGAGCCCAGGGAACCUCGACAUCCAAGUGCAUAACAGAGCGGUCUACGUCAACGGAAAGUGCGUCUGCGGUGACAUCAGAAAGCUGGACCAUAAGGCGCAUUACCAGAUCUGGAAGGACGGUUCCGCCUGGCACACGAAUCUAAACCUUGGCCGAAAGAUGAACCCGCAGGAGGAGAAGGCCUUCGAGGCCAAGGUCCAGAGACUCGAGGCGGAGAAGAAGGAAGCGAAGAAGGCGGCCAGGCAAGCGAGGGAGGCGCGCAAGAGGGCGAGGGAGGCGGCCAAGAAGGUGAGGGAGGCGGCUCGUGAGCGAAGGAUACGCCAGAGGCGUAGUACCAUGGACUGGAACGCGGACGAUGCUUACUGGGAUAGGUUUGAAAGAGAAAUGGAGGAGACUGUUGCGAAACCUCUGGAGAGCAUGAGCAUGAAGAUGGACGCUGCUGCACGGAAGAGAGAAGCUGCUAUGGAGCGUAGAAUAGCCGCCAGGAGGGGACGGGUCGUAGUCGAUGAUGAUGAUUGAGCCGAAUUUUCCCAAAGCAAUGAAGUUCCUGCAAAAACGGAGGAUAAGGGCAUACCGGGAAAACCGAGAAAUAUCAGGGAAAAUCUGGAAAUGUCAGGGACACAUUGUUUUGUCACCGUUCUUUGCUGUCUAGAACGGGUUUGUCGUUUUGAACAAUAAAUUUUGCCUGAAAACUGUUUCUAAUUUUGUACCUACCAUCUGGCGUAUCUUCAACUGUCAGAGAAUUCCACCAAAAUGUCACGAAAAUUAAGGAAAUUUCGGGGAAUUUCUUUCUGUAAAUUCUGU
rnacentral:lncRNA from 1 species